GGAUGCGAUCAUACCAGCACUAAAGCACCGGAUCCCAUCAGAACUCCGAAGUUGAGCGUGCUUGGGCGAGAGUAGUACUAGGAUGGGUGACCUCCUGGGAAGUCCUCGUGUUGCAUUUC
rnacentral:rRNA from 2 species